rnacentral:rRNA from 1 species
GAUGAACGCUGGCGGCGUGCCUAAUACAUGCAAGUCGAGCGAACAGACGAGGAGCUUGCUCCUCUGACGUUAGCGGCGGACGGGUGAGUAACACGUGGAUAAUCUACCUAUAAGACUGGGAUAACUUCGGGAAACCGGAGCUAAUACCGGAUAAUAUAUUGAACCGCAUGGUUCAAUAGUGAAAGACGGUUUUGCUGUCACUUAUAGAUGGAUCCGCGCCGCAUUAGCUAGUUGGUAAGGUAACGGCUUACCAAGGCGACGAUGCGUAGCCGACCUGAGAGGGGACUCGACCAACCGGGAACUGAGACACGGUCCAGAUCCCGAGGGGGGGCCGCGUGAGGAAAUCUUCCGAAAGGGGCGAAAGCCUAACGGACAAACGCCGCGGGGGUGAUGAAGGCUUUCGGAUCGAAAAACCUUUUUUUUAGGGAAAAAAAAAUGUGUAAGUAACCAUGCCGGUCUGGACGGUACCAAAGCAGAAAGCCCCGGCAAACUCCGU